rnacentral:sRNA from 1 species
UUGCGCAAGUCGUAGUUCAUCGGGCAAUGUUCGCAAUCCUCUGCCGGAUUCGCGGGUUUAUUCUUUUCCCCACUUCGAGGCCCGGACAUCUGGUCCACCCGGCGCGCCCAACCAGGCGCUCCGGCGCCGCGCGAUCUUACCGGGUCGCGCGGCAUCCGGGCAUGCGCCGCCGACCGGGCAGCGCGGGAAGGCGGCGAGACUCUCGCCGACGACGGACGGAGCGAAAACGGGAGGACAGGCGCUGGCCUGUCCU